UAUUGCUUGUUCAACAUUCUACUUUUCCAACCCCACUUUCACCUAAAAAGACUUCUCUCUUACUCACAUCUAUCUCACUUGUGCACACAAGCCCACACAUUAUUAUUAUUUCUGAUAAUCAACCUAAGAGGAAAAACAAGUAAUCAACCUAAAAGGAAAAACAAAAACAGGAAACCAAGUACUAGCUUGCAGUCCAAAACCCUAAACCAGAAAAGGAAAAAAAAAAAGUUACCAGAUCCUGCAGCAACAUUGCUUCGAUGGAUUUUAUCACU
rnacentral:lncRNA from 1 species